CCUACGGGAGGCACCAGUGGGGAAUAUUGCACAAUGGGCGCAAGCCUGAUGCACCCAUGCCGCGUGUAUGAAGAAGGCCUUCGGGUUGUAAAGUACUUUCAGCGGGGAGGAAGGUGUUGUGGUUAAUAACCACAGCAAUUGACGUUACCAGCAGAAGAAGCACCGGCUAACUCCGUGCCAGCAGCCGCGGUAAUACGGAGGGUGCAAGCGUUAAUCGGAAUUACUGGGCGUAAAGCGCACGCAGGCGGUCUGUCAACUCGGAUGUGAAAUCCCCGGGCUCAACCUGGGAACUACAUUCGAAACUGGCAGGCUAGAGUCUUGUAGAGGGGGGUAGAAUUCCAGGUGUAGCGGUGAAAUGCGUAGAGAUCUGGAGGAAUACCGGUGGCGAAGGCGGCCCCCUGGACAAAGACUGACGCUCAGGUGCGAAAGCGUGGGGAGCAAACAGGAUUUGAUACCCCGGUAGUC
rnacentral:rRNA from 1 species